UGCACAUCUGGACACGCCGUGCCCAGCACAGAGGGAAGGGAUCCAUGGCAGCCUGGCUGCCCCGCUGCUGCUUUCCUGCCCUGCAGGGCUGUUUCCCAGCCUGGCCUGGCUGCAGCUUCUCACCAGCCUCUGCAGGAAGGCAUUUGGCAUCAGCUGGCAGGGAGCCCAACCUGCACCAUGGGCCCGAGAUGCCUGCAAUUUCCCGGUCUCCGGGUAGAUCAGGAAUGGCACCUGUUUGUAGAAGGGAGUGGCCUGGCCAAUCCCAAAAGUUUUGAUGAUUUCCUGAGCCAUGAGCUUGUCCAGUAUUGCCUCUUGAAGAUGCCAUCUCCCAGAAGGGGAACGGCUCCAUCUAAUGCAGCUGUGCCUCUUCCUGUCUCCAGAGAUGAAGCGAAAGGCUGUGCUGAAGGCAGCAUUUCCUGGAGGAAGCAGUGGCCCAUUGGCAGCCCCUGCUGCAGGAAGUGAGGCGAUGCCAGGCACAGUCACAGGAGAUGAGCAUGCUAGCAAGGCUUCUCCAGCAGCUGGGAUGGAAGAUGGUUUGGAACCCUUGGGAGAUUCUGCAGGUGUGUCUGCAGGGAGGACUUUUCAGGCUCCUUUCCUGGUUGCUGCGCACAAGCCCGGCUCCCAUCGCAGGGGUGAGUUGUGUGUCCCUGCUGACCCCACAGGCUGAGCCCUGCUUUUGUGGGAUCCAUUCGGGGGGAA